UACAGAGGGUGCGAGCGUUGUUUGGAAUUAUUGGGCGUAAAGGGCGCGUAGGCGGUGCGGUAAGUCACCUGUGAAAUCUCCUGGCUCAACUGGGAGCUUGCAGGCGAAACUGCCGUGCUGGAGUGUGGGAGAGGUGCGUGGAAUUCCUGGUGUAGCGGUGAAAUGCGUAGAUAUCAGGAGGAACACCUGUGGCGAAAGCGGCGCACUGGACCACAACUGACGCUGAGGCGCGAAAGCUAGGGGAGCAAACAGG
rnacentral:rRNA from 1 species